rnacentral:rRNA from 1 species
AGUGAACGCUGGCGGUAGGCCUAACACAUGCAAGUCGAACGGCAGCACAGUAAGAGCUUGCUCUUACGGGUGGCGAGUGGCGGACGGGUGAGGAAUACAUCGGAAUCUACUUUUUCGUGGGGGAUAACGUAGGGAAACUUACGCUAAUACCGCAUACGACCUACGGGUGAAAGCAGGGGAUCUUCGGACCUUGCGCGAUUGAAUGAGCCGAUGUCGGAUUAGCUAGUUGGCGGGGUAAAGGCCCACCAAGGCGACGAUCCGUAGCUGGUCUGAGAGGAUGAUCAGCCACACUGGAACUAAGACACGGUCCAGACUCCUACGGGAGGCAGCAGUGGGAAUAUUGGACAAUGGGCGCAAGCCUGAUCCAGCCAUACCGCGUGGGUGAAGAAGGCCUUCGGGUUGUAAAGCCCUUUUGUUGGGAAAGAAAAGCAGCAGGUUAAUACCCCGCUGUUCUGACGGUACCCAAAGAAUAAGCACCGGCUAACUUCGUG